ACAGGUGGUGCAUGGUUGUCGUCAGCUCGUGUCGUGAGAUGUUGGGUUAAGUCCCGCAACGAGCGCAACCCUCGACCUUAGUUGCCAGCAUUCAGUUGGGCAACUCUAAGGUGACUGCCGGCUAAAAGUCGGAGGAAGGUGGGGAUGACGUCAAAUCAUCAUGCCCCUUACGACCUGGGCUACACACGUGCUACAAUGGGCGGUACAAAGGGUCGCGAACCCGCGAGGGGGAGCCAAUCCCAAAAAAGCCGCUCUCAGUUCGGAUUGCAGGCUGCAACUCGCCUGCAUGAAGCCGGAAUCGCUAGUAAUCGCGGAUCAGCAUGCCGCGGUGAAUACGUUCCCGGGCCCU
rnacentral:rRNA from 1 species